rnacentral:rRNA from 1 species
AGUGAACGCUGGCGGUAGGCCUAACACAUGCAAGUCGAACGGCAGCACAGUAAGAGCUUGCUCUUACGGGUGGCGAGUGGCGGACGGGUGAGGAAUACAUCGGAAUCUACUUUUUCGUGGGGGAUAACGUAGGGAAACUUACGCUAAUACCGCAUACGACCUACGGGUGAAAGCAGGGGAUCUUCGGACCUUGCGCGAUUGAAUGAGCCGAUGUCGGAUUAGCUAGUUGGCGGGGUAAAGGCCCACCAAGGGGACGAUCCGUAGCUGGUCUGAGAGGAUGAUCGCCCACACUGGAAGUGAGCCACGGUCCAGACUACUAAGGGAGGCAGCAGUCGGGAAUAUUGGACAAUGGGCGCAAGCAUGAUACAGCCAUACCGAGUGGGUGAAGAAGGCCUUCGGGUUGUAAAGACCUUUUGUUGGGAAAGAAAAGCAGCAGGUUAAUACCCCGCUGUUCUGACGGUAACCAAAGAAUAAGCACCGGCUAACUUCGUG